rnacentral:rRNA from 1 species
CCCUUAGACGUUCUGGGCCGCACGCGCGCUACACUGACGAAGGCAACGAGCUUUCCUUUACCGAAAGGUACGGGUAAUCUUUUGAAACUUCGUCGUGCUGGGGAUAGAUCCUUGCAAUUUUUGAUCUUAAACGAGGAAUUCCUAGUAAGCGCAAGUCAUCAACUUGCGUUGAUUACGUCCCUGCCCUUUGUACACACCGCCCGUCGCUACUAUCGAUUGAAUGGUUUAGUGAGGCCUUCGGAUCCGCGACUCGUUUUGUGGAGAAGUUGGACAAACUCAGUCAUUUAGAGGAAGUAAAAGUCGUAACA